GACAGAGGGUGCGAACGUUGUUCGGAAUUACUGGGCGUAAAGCGCGUGUAGGCUGUUCGGAAAGUCGGGUGUGAAAGCCCUGGGCUCAACCUAGGAAGUGCACUCGAAACUCCCGAACUGGAGUCCCGGAGAGGAAGGCGGAAUUCUCGGUGUAGAGGUGAAAUUCGUAGAUAUCGAGAGGAACACCAGUGGCGAAGGCGAGUCCCUGGACACUUCCUGACACUGAGGCACGAAAGCUAGGGGAGCAAACAGG
rnacentral:rRNA from 1 species